rnacentral:lncRNA from 1 species
CGCGGACGGCCCCGCGGCGCAGGCGCGAAAGCUCCUUCCCGGGCUUCCUCUCCUUAGCAACGGUUACCAAGAGACGCUCCCGCGGGUCCGCCCUAGGCGCUGGGCUCCAGGGAUCGGCUCCGACUGCUGCAGUUCGGGCCUUAUUUUAGGGUGAAGCCCGGGCAGCCGACCCGGCUGCGCCGUAGUGGGAGGCCACGGCGAUUACCCAGGUGAAGGUCUUCCAGUACCUCGCAAGGGUUUUUUGCAUGUCUGAUACCUACGGCUCCAACAGGACCCACUGACUGAUGAUGGCUCCACCUGGACCUGCCAACUACUCCUGCAGCCCCACCCAGAAGCGGUUCAGCACACGGGAGGAUCCUGUCUCACACCCUACGAUGGCCCCCCGCCCCCACAACCCAUCAGCAGCAAGCACCCACUGCCAAGCUACCCCACCCCUUCCCCCAAACUACCUUUGGAACACCCUAGUCCCCAAAUUCUUGGGGAGACUGAUUUCAGUAAUCAUCAAAUUCUGGUCUCCCAUUCACUUGUCUCUGUGUGAAUUAAACCCUUUCUCUAUUGCAGUUUCCCUACCUUGAUACAUGGGCUCCAUCUGGGCAAGAAGAAUCCAC